rnacentral:rRNA from 1 species
AGAAUCAACGCUGGCGGCGUGCCUCAGACAUGCAAGUCGAACGAUUAAAGCUCUCUUCGGAGAGUGUAUAGAGUGGCGCACGGGUGAGUAACACGUAAGUAAUCUACCCUCGAGUGGGGAAUAACGUCCGGAAACGGACGCUAAUACCGCAUAAUGCAGCGGCACCGCAAAGGUGACAGUUGUUAGAGAUUUAUCGCUUGAGGAGGAGCUUGCGGCAGAUUAGCUAGUUGGUAAGGUAAUGGCUUACCAAAGGCUAACGAUCUGUAACCGGUCUAAGAGGACGGUCGGUCACACUGACACUGAAUAAACGGGUCAGACUCCUACGGGA